UCCGGCUUUCACCGGCUGUCUCUCUAGAGUGCCCAGCUUUACCUGCUGGCAACUAAAGAUAAGGGUUGCGCUCGUUGCGGGACUGAACCCAACAUCUCACGACACGAGCUGACGACAACCAUGCACCACCUGUCUCCGCUGUCCCGAAGGAAAGGUCUAUCUCUAAACCGAUCAGCGGGAUGUCAAGCCUUGGUAAGGUUCUUCGCGUUGCUUCGAAUUAAACCACAUGCUCCACCGCUUGUGCGGGCCCCCGUCAAUUCCUUUGAGUUUCAGUCUUGCGACCGUACUCCCCAGGCGGAGUGCUUACUGUGUUAACUUCGGCACUGAGGUCGUGUAAAACCCCAACACCUAGCACUCAUCGUUUACGGCGUGGACUAC
rnacentral:misc_RNA from 1 species